GUUUUUAUAGUUUAACUAAAAAACAUUGAUUUUGUAUAUCAAUAAUAAAUUUAUUUUUUAAAAACU
rnacentral:tRNA from 1 species